rnacentral:rRNA from 1 species
AGCAGCCGCGGUAAUUCCAGCUCCAAUAGCGUAUAUUAAAGUUGCUGCAGUUAAAAAGCUCGUAGUUGAAUUUCGGGACCAAUAUGUCGGUCGUGCCUCGGUACGUACUGGCAUCGUUGGUUUCUCCCUUCUGACGAACCAUGAUGUCAUUUAUUUGGUGUCGUGGGGAAUCAGGACUGUUACUUUGAAAAAAUUAGAGUGUUUAAAGCAGGCUCACGCUUGAAUACAUUAGCAUGGAAUAAUGAAAUAGGACGUUUGAUUCUAUUUUGUUGGUUUCUAGGAUCGACGUAAUGAUUAAUAGGGAUAGUUGGGGGCAUUAGUAUUCAAUUGUCAGAGGUGAAAUUCUUGGAUUUAUUGAAGACUAACUACUGCGAAAGCAUUUGCCAAGGAUGUUUUCAUUAAUCAAGAACGAAAGUUAGGGGAUCGAAGACGAUCAGAUACCGUCGUAGUCUUAACCAUAAACUAUGCCGACUAGGGAUCGGGAUGAUGUUAAUUUUUUAAUGUACUCA